UUUAAUUUUCCUUAAAACUAUAUAGUCCAGCAUCAAAAUUAGGGACCAUGAGCGAUAAUAUGGAUUCAUUCUCUAUUUUUGGAGGAAGAGCUAGAUAUGUGAUGAUAAUGUUUCAUUCUCUUAUUUUCAUUUAAUAAUUUGAACAUAUAUAUAUAUAUAUAUAUAUAUAUAUAUAUAUAUAUAUANNNNNNNNNNNNNNNNNNNNNUUGGGCUUGAAGCGUGGAUAAUGCAUAGGCCCACCUACCAUAUGCUUAAAUUCCACUUUUUAAUUAGAAAGUGAGGGGAGCGGGGAUCGAACUCUAGACCACUUAGUCAUAGAGGCUCUGUCAGGCCGUCUCUCAACCGAUGUGGGACUCUUAACACACCCCCUCACGCCCAGCACUAUUGGGCUUGGUGCGUGGAUAUAAACGGUAGGUGGCCCGAUAGCGGAAACCUGAUAACAGGUGGCCCAAUGGAUCGUGGAGAAGCUCUGAUACCAUCUUAGAAUUGAGUAUUGGGCCUAACUCAUCCUUACAAAACCGGCUCGUAAGGUGAGGAUUGCCUCUAGUAUAUAAACACUUAGUCAGGCCGUCUCUCAACCGAUGUGGGACNNNNNNNNNNNNNNNNNNNNNNNNNNNNNNNNNNNNNNNNCACGCCCAGCACUAUUGGGCUUGGUGCGUGGAUAUAAACGGUAGGUGGCCCGAUAGCGGAAACCUGAUAACAGGUGGCCCAAUGGAUCGUGGAGAAGCUCUGAUACCAUCUCAGAUUUUAUAUUUGGCCUAACUCAUCCCUACAAAACCGGCUUGUAAGGUGAGGACUGCCACUUGCUUAUAAACACUACACAGGCCAUAUCUCUUAGCAAUGUGGGACUAAAUCCACCCCUUCACACCCAACACAAUGAAGGUGUUGGAGGCUGCAAUGAAGGCAACUCAAAUGCCGCAAUUAGGCAGAUGGGGGCGGGCCGCAAUGAAGGUGGAAUUUCCAACACACCCCCUCACGCUCGGGCCCAAUGUGCCUGAAGCGUGGACAAUGCGGGAAGCCCAACAAUAGAUCUAGGAUAGGCUCUGAUACCAUCUCAAAUAACCGAUUAUCCCAAAACCUUAAGGUGUUAGGAUAGAGCCAUAUCAAUGGUUUUAUAUUAUUUCUAACAAUAUAUAUAAAAUGAUUUAUUUUUCAAUUGUGAUUUUCACUUUUCAGGAUAUUGGGCAACCAAGGCCCGCCUUCUGUAUGGUAAGAUUCUCUUGCUUAAUUUCAAUUUUUUUUUGUGUUAUUCUACAAAAAUUUCGCGAUUUUGCCACGUAAAUCUUGAGUGUGGCCUAUCUAGACGUCGCAAAAUUAAGACACAGUUAAAUCAAACUUGUGCCACAGUUAUCUCUAUUUGAUAUUCAGCAGUUUUUAUUGUUUUUUAAUAAGAAUUUUUUUUUACUGAACAAAAAUACUGUGGCUAACAUUGUUGUUAGCGUCUUUAAAAACAGGAUUUUCGCUACGGUGUUAAUCGUGGCUAAUCUAAAAUAUAACUUUGCCACUUAGUAACCAUGGCAAACUUUAAUUUUAUUUUUUAAAAAAAUUAAAGUUCUGCAUUUCUUUUAUUGUUUUCUUUUUUAAAAUUUUAAUUUGCAACAAUUUAUAUUAACAAGCACCAAAAUAGUAAAUGAGUAUCAAAUACUUUGGUGAUAUGUUUAGUGUAAUUAAAGAUGGUUUUUUCUAAUCUACCCUCUCGGGGUAUAUACCCAUAAACCAAUGAGAACAAGCUAUAUGCAAGUCCACAUGUGCAAAUUCAAAAGUUUGUUACAAGUUUCUUGUGGGAACCACAUGUAAAUCUACUAUGUGGCUUGUUUUAUUGAUUGAUGGGUAUAUGCCCUCAAUUUAUGAAAGGAUAGAGUAGGCCUCACCAUUAAAGAUAUUUUGAAUUGCCAACAUAUGUUUCGGUGAUAUGUUUAGAGAAUUGCCAACCGAUUAUGUGUUUGCCUAAUCCCCGAAGAGUUUAGCAUUUUAUAUUCAUUUCCAGUCAAUUAACUGCAUAUAAUUAUUUACCAAAAUACAAAACUUCACUGUAAUUUUCUUUUUUUUUGCAGAUUAUGUUGGUGGAAUUUACGACGGUAUGAGUAUGACAGUCAUACUAUGACUUCCAUUUCAUCUAUACAUUGUUGUCAGAUAUACACUUGAUUGAAUUGAAAAAGGGAUCGAACUAUAAAAAGAUGUAGUCUAAGAACAAUGAAGCUACUCAUUUUUUAGUACUUAAGUGUGUCUCACAUGUACAUAUCAUUUAUUUAUAAUUUUUUUAAUAAUAGUAUAUAAUAAGUACUCAAUCCCUCCAACCCAAAAUCUCUUCAAAAGUUCUAAAUUGGUCCCACUAGUAGCACAUAUCAACUCAGAUGAAACUGUAUCAGAUACUGGCUGGCUCUACCAGUUAUGUGGAGGAAAUUCCAACCAAUCCUUUAUUGAAGUAUUCAGCUUAAUAAUUGCAAGUAAAUUAUACCUUACAUUUCUAUUGUUACGUUGUCUUAUAACCUAAUAAUAUAAUUCAGUGUAAUGUUUUAUUUGUAAAAUAUGAAAUAUGAAAUUGUUACUUUAGUUAUUGAAAUAUAAGUAUUGCAUCUGCACAAUAUGUAAAAACAAUACAUUUUAAAAGUUAAUUCAUCUUUAGAAUCAUAUGUUAUGGUGUUUUUUUAUGGAAAU
rnacentral:lncRNA from 1 species